CUCUGCGGAGGAUAAAAAGUAGUAUGUCCCAAUUGUGUGCAUACCGCAUGCAACAGUGCGUACUUUGUAAGCUGCAGUAUGUACUAAAAGUAAAAAGUAUGUGAUUUGGAAGGUAGCCAUUGUGUCCAUCAUCAAACAAUCACCCGUGCCAGAACGAUGUUUGCAACAUUUUGCACUUUAAUAUUUUCUCCAAAACAGACAACUAAUUUUUCCCACAUUUUUACACUAAUAGGAAAUAAAACACCUUUGAUAGCAUAAAGAAAAGAUAUGUAGAAAAGUAUUAAAAGUUUUUGGAUGUUUCAAUUUAAUGUAAGUAGCUGCUUGUUACUUCAAA